UACGUAGGGGGCAAGCGUUAUCCGGAUUCACUGGGCGUAAAGGGAGCGCAGGCGGCACGGUAAGUCUGAUGUGAAAGCCCGGGGCUCAACCCCGGGACUGCAUUGGAAACUGCCGAGCUUGAGUGUCGGAGGGGCAGGCGGAAUUCCUAGUGUAGCGGUGAAAUGCGUAGAUAUUAGGAGGAACACCAGCGGCGAAGGCGGCCUGCUGGACGACAACUGACGCUGAGGCUCGAAAGCGUGGGGAGCAAACAGG
rnacentral:rRNA from 1 species